ACUCAUCGCGAGGCGAGGCGCACCACGAGCGUACACGCUGGGACCCGAAAGAUGGUGAACUAUGCCUGGUCAGGACGAAGUCAGGGGAAACCCUGAUGGAGGUCCGUAGCGAUUCUGACGUGCAAAUCGAUCGUCGGAACUGGGUAUAGGGGCGAAAGACUAAUCGAACCAUCUAGUAGCUGGUUCCCUCCGAAGUUUCCCUCAGGAUAGCUGGCACUCGAUCGAACACACCGAUAUCGAACGAGUCUCAUCCGGUAAAGCGAAUGAUUAGAGGCAUUGGGGUCGAAACGGCCUCAACCUAUUCUCAAACUUUAAAUGGGUGAGAUCUCCGGCUUGCUUGACAUAUGAAGCCGGAGAUCGGAUCAACGGGUGCCAAGUGGGCCACUUUUGGUAAGCAGAACUGGCGCUGUGGGAUGAACCAAACGUCGAGUUAAAGCGCCAAAAUCGACGCUUAUGGGACACCAUGAAAGGCGUU
rnacentral:rRNA from 1 species